rnacentral:lncRNA from 1 species
CGGGGAGCCCGCCGGCCCGCUCCGCACCCCGCCCCCGGGCGGUGCAGCCGCCCUGCAGUCCCCUGGCCCCGUCCUCCCCGUCCGCGUGGUACGGCCCGUCCCGGGGAGGCAGCGGCCGCCCCGCCCGCCCCUCCUCCCCGGGCCUGACAGAAACCCGCCUGGCCUCCGAACGCCUCGGGGCCCCGUGCCGGAGCCGGAAGGGGAGGAGGGCUGGGCAGGCGUCGCUGUGGACCGCGGGAGGGGCUCCCCGCCCGGGCCCCCCAACGCCAGGGUUUGGCUCUUUCCCGCAACCCGAAUGCCAAGAUGGCGGCGAUGCCACCGCUCCGGAAGGGAAGGAGGAGCCAUGGAGCAUAUUGGCAAUUUGGUUCUGACUCCUAAAAUCAUUUUACUAUACCUUUACACUGCCUACAUUGGAGACUGCAAGCAGUGGAAAAGAAUAGAUACUCCAGAUCUCGUCGAUAAACCCAGGCUCCUCCUAAACCAGCCAGAUUCAGAGAGAAAAACGAGCUGGCCUGCCUUAUUGUAUUACUUGCCAUCAAGGUUCAAUGUGGUUCUAUUACCCAGUAAAGUCAUUGACCAAACAAGAUUCUGUCACUCCCUUGGCUUUGACCUAACCUGACAUCAUUCUGUCACAUUAUCUUCUAAAUCAAGUAAACGUUCAUUUGUCUCAGUAAGCACAAUCUAUCUGGGUGACACCAGAGAGGUUUCUGAAGGGUCUGGUGUACGCUGAGGCAGUGAAAUAGGUCUGUUGGCACAGGUAAGAAGGAAGUGGCAUGAUAAACAUCACAACCCCAGGGAACAGCCUUCCAGAGUGGCACAAGCACUCCCACCGAGAUGGUCCAGUGCCCACCCGUUAAAGAGUCAAAACCCAAAGUUACUGAGUGUCCCACAAAGCAAGUCAC